rnacentral:rRNA from 1 species
UAGCGUAGGGUGCGAGCGUUGUCCGGGAAUUAUUGGGCGUAAAGAGCUUGUAGGCGGUUUGUCGCGUCUGCUGUGAAAUUCCAGGGCUUAACCCUGGGCUUGCAGUGGGUACGGGCAGACUAGAGUGUGGUAGGGGAGACUGGAAUUCCUGGUGUAGCGGUGAAAUGCGCAGAUAUCAGGAGGAACACCGAUGGCGAAGGCAGGUCUCUGGGCAUUAACUGACGCUGAGGAGCGAAAGCAUGGGGAGCGAACAGG